rnacentral:rRNA from 1 species
GAUGAACGCUGGCGGCGUGCCUAAUACAUGCAAGUCGAGCGAACAGACGAGGAGCUUGCUCCUCUGACGUUAGCGGCGGACGGGUGGGUAACACGUGGAUAACCUACCUAUAAGACUGGGAUAACUUCGGGAAACCGGAGCUAAUACCGGAUAAUAUAUUGAACCGCAUGGUUCAAUAGUGAAAGACGGUUUUGCUGUCACUUAUAGAUGGAUCCGCGCCGCAUUAGCUAGUUGGUAAGGUAACGGCUUACCAAGGCAACGAUGCGUAGCCGACCUGAGAGGGUGAUCGGCCACACUGGAACUGAGACACGGUCCAGACUCCUACGGGAGGCAGCAGUAGGGAAUCUUCCGCAAUGGGCGAAAGCCUGACGGAGCAACGCCGCGUGAGUGAUGAAGGUCUUCGGAUCGUAAAACUCUGUUAUUAGGGAAGAACAAAUGUGUAAGUAACUAUGCACGUCUUGACGGUACCGAAUCAGAAAGCCACGGCUAACUACGUG